rnacentral:rRNA from 1 species
AGUGAACGCUGGCGGUAGGCCUAACACAUGCAAGUCGAACGGCAGCACAGUAAGAGCUUGCUCUUACGGGUGGCGAGUGGCGGACGGGUGAGGAAUACAUCGGAAUCUACUUUUUCGUGGGGGAUAACGUAGGGAAACUUACGCUAAUACCGCAUACGACCUACGGGUGAAAGCAGGGGAUCUUCGGACCUUGCGCGAUUGAAUGAGCCGAUGUCGGAUUAGCUAGUUGGCGGGGUAAAGGCCCACCAAGGCGACGAUCCGUAGCUGGUCUGAGAGGAUGAACCAGCCAACUGGGAAUGGGAACAGGGCCCGACUGCUAAGGGAGGGAAGAGUGGGGAAAUUUGGGAAAAGGGCGGCAAGCUGGUCCAAGCCAUCCGGGUGGGUGAAAAAGGCCUUCGGGUUGGUAAAGCCUUUUGUUUGGGAAAAAAAGCCGCAAGUUUAACACCCGCUGUUUUGACGGUAACCAAAAAAAAAGGAACGGCUAAAUUCGGG